AGAAUUUGAUUCUGGCUCAGGACGAACGCUGGCGGCAUGCUUAAUACAUGCAAGUCGAACGCUGAAGCACUCUGCUUGCAGAGUGCGGAUGAGUGGCGAACGGGUGAGUAACACGUGGGGAAUCUGCCUAGGAGUGGGGGAUAACAUUCGGAAACGGAUGCUAAUACCGCAUAUCUUCUUAGACCGCAUGGUCUAUGAAUGAAAGACGGCUUUGCUGUCGCUCUUAGAUGAUCCCGCGGCGUAUUAGUUAGUUGGUGGGGUAAAGGCCUACCAAGACAAUGAUACGUAGCCGACCUGAGAGGGUGAUCGGCCACAUUGGGACUGAGACACGGCCCAAACUCCUACGGGAGGCAGCAGUGGGGAAUAUUGCACAAUGGGGGAAACCCUGAUGCAGCGACGCCGCGUGAAGGAAGAAGUAUCUCGGUAUGUAAACUUCUAUCAGCAGGGAAGAUAAUGACGGUACCUGACUAAGAAGCCCCGGCUAACUACGUGCCAGCAGCCGCGGUAAUACGUAGGGGGCAAGCGUUAUCCGGAUUUACUGGGUGUAAAGGGAGCGUAGGCGGCGGAGCAAGUCAGAAGUGAAAGCCCGGGGCUCAACCCCGGGACGGCUUUUGAAACUGCCCUGCUUGAUUUCAGGAGAGGAAAGCGGAAUUCCUAGUGUAGCGGUGAAAUGCGUAGAUAUUAGGAGGAACACCAGUGGCGAAGGCGGCUUUCUGGACUGACAAUGACGCUGAGGCUCGAAAGCGUGGGGAGCAAACAGGAUUAGAUACCCUGGUAGUCCACGCCGUAAACGAUGAGUGCUAGGUGUCGGGGGUCAAACCUCGGUGCCGGAGCUAACGUAU
rnacentral:rRNA from 1 species